GUUAUGGUUUCCUUGGAUUCCUUGUCAAUGCUGGACACACUGGAGCUACGGGAGCGGCUGAAGGAAUUGUCCCGGCUUUCUAUGGAAACCCAAGAAGAGAUUUCAACAAAAGCAGCUGAGCCUGGCUGAGUUGAAUGGGAAUAUCGUGAGAAUGGAACGAGGUAAAGCUCAGGAGAACUGAAGGUUCAGUGGGUGUCCUCCGAUCCGACUACCAAGCAAGCUUCCUCUUUUACACCCAGGAACUCGAGAGUGGAUGUCAGUGAGCGACCGGCCUCUGGAGGAGAGAGGCCAGCCCAGUAGGUGUCCGCCUGAGCUCACUGGGUGUGGGUUUUGCCUCCCUAAGCCAAUGCGACACUCCCUUAGGAAUCCCCAGC